CGAGUUGUGUGCCGUUUUGUACGAACAUUGGCACUCACCAUUUCCCUAAAGUAGAAACUUUAAAAAACAGAUGGAUACAAGCCAUUAAACUAAAGCCUGGUUUAACAUUACGGAAGAGUUCACUUAUAUGCUCAGCUCAUUUUCAUCCAACCGAUAUUUUUGUAAGUUAUGUAUCAGGUCGCACUCGCAAAAGAAUAAAAAAGAAUGCUGUUCCUUCUAUAUUUGCAUGGAAACAGCAACGGAAUGAAUUGGAACCGAGCAACAGAGGAACAGAGGCAGUGAUUUUUGAUCCAUCAAAAGUACAAGCAACAUAUUGUCGACCACCUCCAAUUCCAUUUGUUGAGGCAAGUCCAUUUUUGGAUCCAUUACAUACAGAGGAAGAAGAUGACCCAUUACAAAUAUCAG